GAGGGUAUAGCUCAGUGGUUGAGCAUGUGCUUAACAUGCAUGAGGUUCUGGGUUCUAUCCCCAGUACCUCCA
rnacentral:tRNA from 1 species